rnacentral:piRNA from 1 species
UGUUUCUUAAUAGGACCGUUGUCUUGGC